GCGGGCGUGGCGCAGUGGUUAGCGCGUAGGUCUCAUAUUCAAUAUGACUUGGGAAAUCCUAAGGUCGAGGGUUCGACACCCUCCGCCCGCA
rnacentral:tRNA from 1 species